rnacentral:rRNA from 1 species
GACGAAGGAUGCAAGCGUUAUCCGGAUUCAUUGGGUUUAAAGGGUGCGUAGGCGGGCUUGUAAGUCAGUGGUGAAAUCUCUUCGCUUAACGAAGAAACUGCCAUUGAUACUGCAGGCCUAGAGUAUAGAUGACGUUGGCGGAAUAUGACAUGUAGUGGUGAAAUACUUAGAUAUGUCAUAGAACACCGAUUGCGAAGGCAGCUAACGAAACUAUAACUGACGCUGAGGCACGAAAGUGCGGGGAUCAAACAGG